rnacentral:tRNA from 1 species
GCCUUAAAAGCUUGAAGCAACUUACUUUGUAAGUAAGAGGAGAUCAGUUGAUAGUCUGGUUUAAGGUU